rnacentral:rRNA from 1 species
AUACGUAGGGGGCGAGCGUUGUCCGGAAUUACUGGGUGUAAAGGGCGUGUAGGCGGGGCAGCAAGUUAUCGGUAAAAACCCGGGGCUCAACCUCGGGCUUGCCGAUAAAACUGCAGCUCUUGAGUGCAGGAGAGGGAAGUGGAAUUCUCGGAGUAGCGGUGAAAUGCGUAGAUACCGGGAGGAACACCAGUGGCGAAGGCGGCUUCCUGGCCUGUAACUGACGCUGAGGCGCGAAAGCUGGGGGAGCGAACGGGAUUAGAUACCCCGGUAGUCCCAGCCGUAAACGAUGGUCACUAGGUGUGGGGUGUGGUCAAGCACUCCGUGCCGGAGCGAACGCAAUAAGUAUUCCGCCUGGGGAGUACGGUCGCAAGAUUAAA